UACAGAGGGAGCGAGCGUUAAUCGGAGUUACUGGGCGUAAAACGCACGUAGGUGGCGACGUAAGUCGGGUGUGAAAGCCCCGGGCUCAACCUGGGAAUUGCAUUCGAGACUGCAUUGCUGGAGUACGGAAGAGGAGGGCGGAAUUCCCGGUGUAGCGGUGAAAUGCGUAGAUAUCGGGAGGAACAUCAGUGGCGAAGGCGGCCCUCUGGUCCAGUACUGACACUCAAGUGCGAAAGCGUGGGGAGCAAACAGG
rnacentral:rRNA from 1 species